GACGAACGCUGGCGGCGUGCUUAACACAUGCAAGUCGAACGGAAAGGCCCUGCUUUUGUGGGGUGCUCGAGUGGCGAACGGGUGAGUAACACGUGAGUAACCUGCCCUUGACUUUGGGAUAACUUCAGGAAACUGGGGCGAAUACAGGAUAUGAGCUCCUGCUGCAUGGUGUGGGUUGGUAAGUUUCGGCGGUGGGGGAUGGAUUCGCAGCUUAUCAGCUUGUUGGGGGGGUAGUGGCUUACCAAGGGUUUGACGGGUAGCAGGCCUGAGAGGGUGACCGGCGACCAUGGGACUGAGAUACGGACCAGAAUCCUACCGGAGGCAGCAGGGGGGAAUAUUACAGAAUGGGCGGAAGCCUGAUGUAGCAACGCCGGGUGCGGGAUGAUGGGUUUCGGGUGAUAAACCGAUUUCGCAGGAGAUGAAGAGUGAUUGACGGUAAUUGGUAAAGAAGCACCGGCUAACUACGUG
rnacentral:rRNA from 1 species